rnacentral:rRNA from 1 species
UACGAGGGGUGCAAGCGUUGUUCGGAAUUAUUGGGCGUAAAGGGCAGGUAGGUUGUCUUGUAAGUCUACUGUGAAAUCCCCGGGCUUAACCCGGGACGUGCGGUGGAUACUGCAAGACUAGAGUGCUGGAGGGGUUCGUGGAAUACCCGGUGUAGCGGUGAAAUGCGUAGAUAUCGGGUGGAACACCAGAGGCGAAGGCGGCGAACUGGACAGCAACUGACACUAAACUGCGAAAGCGUGGGGAGCAAACAGG